ACACCGUUAGUAUAGCGGUAGAAUAAGCGGUUCCCAUCCGCUUGGCCCGGGUUCAACUCCCGGACGGUGUA
rfam:Vitrella brassicaformis CCMP3155 genome assembly, contig: scaffold131